rnacentral:rRNA from 1 species
CACAGACAACCAGGAUGUUGGCUUAGAAGCAGCCACUCAUUCAAAGAGUGCGUAAUAGCUCACUGGUCGAGUGAUCCUGCGCCGAAGAUUUCCGGGGCUAAAACUUACUACCGAAGCUACGGCAUCAGUAAUGAUGGGUAGGGGAGCUUCCCAUACGGGUUGAAGCAUGACCGUAAGGACAUGUGGACAGUAUGGGAGUGAGAAUGUUGGCAUGAGUAGCGAGAUGUGGGUGAGAAUCCCACAGGCCGUAAACCCAAGGUUUCCAGGGGAAGGUUCGUCCGCCCUGGGUUAGUCGGGACCUAAGCUGAGGCCGAAAGGCGUAGGUGAUGGACAACAGGUUGAUAUUCCUGUACUACCGAUAACCGUUUGAGAGAAGGGAUGACACAGUAGGAUAAGCUAAGCACACUGUUGGUUAUGUGUGCCCAAGCAUUGAGGCAGUCAAAGUAGGCAAAUCCGCUUUGAUAAUGCUGGGAUGUGAUGGGGAGCGAAAUUUAGUAGCGAAGUAGCUGAUUUCACACUGUCAAGAAAAGUCUCUAUCGAGGUUAAAGGUACCCGUACCGCAAACCGACACA